GACGAGGGGUCCAAGCGUUGUCCGGAAUCAUUGGGCGUAAAGCGCGCGUAGGUGGCCAUUUAAGUCCGCUGUGAAAGUCAAAGGCUCAACCUUUGAAAGCCGGUGGAUACUGGGUGGCUAGAGUACGGAAGAGGCGAGUGGAAUUCCUGGUGUAGCGGUGGAAUGCGCAGAUAUCAGGAGGAACACCAAUAGCGAAGGCAGCUCGCUGGGACGUUACUGACACUGAGGCGCGAAAGCGUGGGGAGCGAACAGG
rnacentral:rRNA from 1 species